rnacentral:rRNA from 1 species
UACGUAGGGGGCAAGCGUUAUCCGGAUUUACUGGGUGUAAAGGGAGCGUAGACGGCUUGGCAAGCCAGAUGUGAAAGGCUGGGGCUCAACCCCAGGACUGCAUUUGGAACUGUCAUGCUAGAGUGUCGGAGAGGCAGGCGGAAUUCCUAGUGUAGCGGUGAAAUGCGUAGAUAUUAGGAGGAACACCAGUGGCGAAGGCGGUCUGCUGGACAGUAACUGACGGUGAGGCGCGAAAGCGUGGGGAGCAAACAGG